UACGUAGGGUGCGAGCGUUAAUCGGAAUUACUGGGCGUAAAGGGUGCGCAGGCGGCUCUGUAAGUCAGAUGUGAAAUCCCCGGGCUUAACCUGGGAAUUGCGUUUGAAACUACAGGGCUAGAGUGUAGCAGAGGGGAGUGGAAUUCCAUGUGUAGCAGUGAAAUGCGUAGAGAUAUGGAAGAACAUCGAUGGCGAAGGCAGCCCCCUGGGUUAAAACUGACGCUCAGGCACGAAAGCGUGGGGAGCAAACAGG
rnacentral:rRNA from 1 species